AACUAUGACGACGGGGCUGGCGUGGAGCCCCGGAUGGGAGCCUCGGUGCGCGCCGAAUGCAAUUGGUUUGGAGGGAUGCGGAGGCUGGCGUUGGGCAAGGGUCGAUCCGAGGUCACCUGUCUGACAUGAGCACCAGGAGGAAGCUAUGGCAGUGGAAGUCUGGGCGACAAGUUCUCAUAUAUCUCAAGCAGGCCUCAAAUGUGCUCUGUAGUGAUGGCUUUGAAUUUCUGAUCCUCCUGCCUCCGUCUUCCAAGUACUGGGAUUACGGACGCGCACCACCAUGCCCCAUUUGUGUGAUGCUGGAGAUGGAGCCAGCACUGUGUACAUAGGAAGAUAAGAAGAUAGGAAGAAUUCUACCAACUGAGCUACAUUCCAAGCCUGAGUUCAGUUUGAAGUCUGAGGUAAAGUGAACUUUUUUCCAGCAAUGAUAAAAAUCCAAAGAGGAAUAUCUUGCGGAACUUGCUAUAUAGCCAAGGAUGACUUUGAACUUCUGAUCCCCCUGCUUCCACUUCUGAGUGCUUGGACUACAGGUGUGCACCACUAAGUGGUUUCUGUGGUGCUGGGGAUCAAACCGAGAACUUCACACAGGCUAAGCAGGCACUUUACUUAGCUUCCUCCAGUCCUUAGACACAGCAUUUGUUAGUUUUGUUCUGAGUUUAGGAUUUCUCUGUGUAACUAAGGCUGUUCUGGAACUCACUCUGUAGACUAGGCUGGCCUCAAACUCACAGAGAUCCACCUGCCUCUGCCUCCUGAGUGCUGGGAUUGAAGGCGUGUGCCACCACUGCUGGCUACAUGCACCAUUUUUGAAACAACCUUUUAGAAUAUAUACAUACCAUUUAGUGCCUUGCUCUUCAAAAGACACAAUCUCCUUUAAACUGAACAUUAUAAAUACAAAAUUUUAUUAAACUUCUUUUGUUAUUCACAAAGGCUGCUUGUACUGUUACACACAGCAAAUGGAGAGCUCAAGACUUCCACCGUCUUGACAACCACUUUCCUUCCCUCCAACGGCGUCCACCGUCUUGACCAUUUUCCUUCCCUCCAACGGCGUCCACCGUCUUGACAACCAUUUUCCUUCCCUCCAACGGCGUCCACCGUCUUGACAACCAUUUUCUCUUUCUCCAACGGUGUUAACUUUCAAAGUCAGUUGCUUGUAAAUAAAGCUUUUAAUAAAUUACAAGUGUGUAAUAGGU